GGGCUGAUCCGAUUGCUGUCUAUAAACAAGCCAUCAAAUGAUUAUCUAUGGAUUGGUGGGACAUGUAAGUUCACACACGGAAAAGCACGAAAGUUGCGAGGGGGUCGAC